rnacentral:rRNA from 1 species
UGUCCCUAGUACGAGAGGACCGGGACGGACGAACCUCUGGUGUGCCAGUUGUCCCGCCAGGGGCACGGCUGGUUAGCUACGUUCGGAAGGGAUAACCGCUGAAAGCAUCUAAGCGGGAAGCCUGCUUCAAGAUGAGGUAUCCCACCCACUUUUGUGGGGUAAGGCCCCCAGCUAGACGACUGGGUUGAUAGGCCGGAAAUGUAAGCCCGGUAACGGGUUCAGUUGACCGGUACUAAUAGGCCGAGGACUUGACUAU